rnacentral:rRNA from 1 species
UACGGAGGGUGCAAGCGUUGUCCGGAAUCACUGGGCGUAAAGGGCGCGUAGGCGGCCUGGUAAGUAGGGGGUGAAAUCCUGCGGCUUAACCGCAGGGCUGCCUUCUAAACUGUCAGGCUUGAGCACGGUAGAGGCAGAUGGAAUUCCCGGUGUAGCGGUGGAAUGCGUAGAGAUCGGGAGGAACACCGGUGGCGAAGGCGGGUCUCUGGGCAAUUCCUGACGCUGAGGCGCGAAAGCGUGGGGAGCAAACGGG